rnacentral:rRNA from 1 species
GACGAACGCUGGCGGCGUGCUUAACACAUGCAAGUCGAACGGAAAGGCCCUGCUUUUGUGGGCUGCUCGAGUGGCGAACGGGUGAGUAACACGUGAGUAACCUGCUCUUGACUUUGGGAUAACUUCAGGAAACUGGGGCUAAUACCGGAUAGGAGCUCCUGCUGCAUGGUGGGCGUUGGAAAGUUUCGGCGGUUGGGGAUGGACUCGCGGCUUACCAGCUUGUUGGUGGGGUAGUGGCUUACCAAGGCUUUGACGGGUAGCCGGCCUGAGAGGGUGACCGGGCACAUUAGUCCUGCGGUACGGCCCAGACUCCUACGUGGGACAGCAGUGGGAAAUAUUACACAAUGGUCGGAAGUCUGUGGCAACAACGCCGCGUGCGGGAUGACGGCCUUCGGGUUGAGAACAGCUUUCGCCUGUGACGAAGCGUGAGUGACGGUAAUGGAUAAAGAAGCACCGGCUAACUACGUG